UUUCUACUCCUUCCGUCCAAAAAUACUUGUCAUCAAAAUGGAUAAAAAGAGAUGUAUCUAAAACUAAAAUACGUCUAGAUACAUUACCUUUUAUCCAUUUUGAUGACAAGUAUUUCCGGACGGAGGGAGUAUUUG
rfam:Triticum urartu cultivar G1812 contig963349, whole genome shotgun sequence.